AAGGAAUAUUGCUCAAUGGGAGAAAUCCUGAAGCAGCAACGCCGCGUGGAGGAUGAAGGGUCUAUGACUUGUAAACUCCUGUAAAGAAGGAAAAAAUUCCCAUUAGAUGGGAGAUGAUGGUACUUCUGGAGUAAGCCCCGGCUAACUACGUGCCAGCAGCCGCGGUCAUACGUAGGGGGCAAGCGUUGUCCGGAUUUACUGGGUGUAAAGGGUGCUCAGGCGGAUUUGUAAGUCAGAGGUGAAAUCUUACAGCUUAACUGUGAAACUGCCUUUGAUACUGCAAGCCUAGAGUAUGGAAGAGAGUGAUGGAAUAUCUGGUGUAGCAGUGAAAUGCGUAGAUAUCAGAUAGAACACCAAUGGCGAAGGCAGUCACUUGGUCCAUUACUGACGCUAAAGCACGAAAGCGUGGGUAGCAAACA
rnacentral:rRNA from 1 species